GCAUAGGAAUCUGCCCGGUAGUGGGGGAUAACUUGAGGAAACUCAAGCUAAUACCGCAUACGCCCCAAGGGGGAAAGCAGGGGAUCUUCGGACCUUGCGCUAUCGGAUGAGCCUAUGUCGGAUUAGCUAGUUGGUGAGGUAAUGGCUCACCAAGGCCGCGAUCCGUAGCUGGUCUGAGAGGAUGAUCAGCCACAUCGGGACUGAGACACGGCCCGAACUCCUACGGGAGGCAGCAGUGGGGAAUAUUGGACAAUGGGCGAAAGCCUGAUCCAGCCAUGCCGCGUGUGUGAAGAAGGCCUUCGGGUUGUAAAGCACUUUCAGCGAGGAAGAACGCUUGUGGGUUAAUACCCCGCAAGAAGGACAUCACUCGCAGAAGAAGCACCGGCUAACUCCGUGCCAGCAGCCGCGGUAAUACGGAGGGUGCAAGCGUUAAUCGGAAUUACUGGGCGUAAAGCGCGCGUAGGCGGCUUGAUAAGCCGGUUGUGAAAGCCCCGGGCUCAACCUGGGAACGGCAUCCGGAACUGUCAGGCUAGAGUGCAGGAGAGGAAGGUAGAAUUCCC
rnacentral:rRNA from 1 species